GAAGAGCCACUCCGCCGCCACCACCUCGUCCAAACUUUCGUUUGUCAUCAUGGCGCCCUUCCUCAUCUAAUCUUGGUGGCGCCCCUUCCUAGCGUUUGUUCUGCCGUCCGCGCUGCAGUCUGCUUCUCCCGUUUCACUCCUAUCUUAGCUGCACGGACUAGUUUUGCAUCGUUUUGAUCUACACCGUACCGUUUCACUCUCUUGUUCUUAACGGCGGGGGCGCGAGUUUUUCCGUGCUAAGCCGCCUACGCAAGGAGGUGAUAGAUUGACGCGUCAAGAAAUCGUUUCAGUUGCCAUGACUCCAGUAGGCAAUAUGAUUGUUGCUUGACUACAGUUUUGUCUCCCACUACUUCGCCUUUUCUGUUUGUUUUAAAUUUUAAUCCCGCUCGCGAUUUGAUGAAUCUUAACUAGGUUUCGGUUUCUGCACAGUGCUAACCCCGGGCUUGUCGGAUUAACUUCCUGAAGAAGGAAGCCCCAAUGCCUGUGCUAGAUCCAGCAUGCCAUUCAGUGUUGCAGGUCAUGACGAAUCUUGUGAUUGGUCUGUGUCAAAGCAAUGGAUACAUAUAUAUUCGCAAUACAUCAGCAUUUUUUCUUUGUUAUGUUUGGUUUGCUGUCUCGCUUGAUUGAUUGAUGGCAGUGAUUUGACAUUACCUGCGCUUCUGAUGUAACCUGUGAAGGAAAGGGAAAAAUCAAUGGUUGAAUUUCUUAAUAUGAGCCAUCUAGUAACCAUUCAAUUCAAUUGUCUCUUGUUAUUUCUGCAUCAGCUCAUUUCAUUCAUUUGGCAGUGAUGAUACAACCAUUCAGCUUACAACGCCAGUUCUGCUUCUGAUAAAUCGUGACAGACAAAGCUGAUUCAUAUCUGAGCCUUAUCCGUGUCAGUUUUUAACAAAUACGUACUCAAAUUUAGGGUCUUGAAUUUUUGUAUCUGUCCAACCCGUACAUCCCUUUGGCCACUGAUGAAGUUGUCCAAUGUUUGGAGGCUGCAGUCGGCUCCAAGUUCCUGCUUGUCAGGUAGAACCUACUUGGAGCUGCUGCACUCGCAUGACAAGACUGGGCAAUACUGAGGCCUCUAUGCAGUGUCCAAAUACGUUUGCAGUUUAAUACUCCUAUAUAUGGUAGACUAGUUAUUUCACCCACAAUAUUUAUACUGGGUUAAUUUUUGCCGAGUUUAACUAUCCUUACACGAGUGUUAUUGUUCGUGUUGAGGCUGAAAAACUCGGAGAAUGCGUGUUGUCAUCAGCUUCGGCUCUGUGCUGUGAGUUGGGAGUUAAAUAACAGCACAAGAUUGUUUACUUCUGUGGUUUCAUACCGCAUAUUUUGCACCAUCCCUUGCAACAUAUUAUCCUGUCAGGCUUAGAACAACGAUUCAUUAGCUACCUAUAUGUCAAACUAAUUCAUCAGCCAUGUGUUCAACUAGUAGUUUUGACUGUUUUUAUCUUCUAACAAUUAUCUCUAGAGGUGUCGAACAGGCCCUUAGAGUUGUGGAUGAUGAUACCAAAGUAAAAUACAGUUAUCCCUGGCUUAUUCCUUUUAAAAGGGUGCUGAGAACAUUAUUCUGACACAACUAUAUCAGACGGUGAAAACUCGAAAACCAAGAACACCUCACACGGCGCAGUAAUUUCGUGCUACUAAUGAGAAGUCAAUACUUUUCUGAUGAUACAUCACUUGCAUCUUUUUUCGAGUUGCAUAAUGAAUUUUACAUUUUGAAUUUCUGUGUCUCGUUUCAAAUGCAAGCCAUGUUCUUUUGCAGAUAGUUUGGUAACAUUUCACUGGUAGUCAGUCAUGUUUAACUGAGCAUCCACUUUUCUGAGUUGUUUAUAUUGUGUGUAUCUAGCUUGUUUACCCUGUAUCUCAAAUGUUAAUCUUGUUUUGAUGUUUCUGUUCAGUAAUUAUCACUGGUAAUGUUGUUUGUCUUGAGGCAACAAAUUAGAGUCUCUGAUGUGCUUCUUUCCAUAGUGCAUCAAGCGCUGUACGUUGCCAAUAGCAGUUUGGAAUAAGUUAUCAUGCAUUCACUGUCCUUAAACAGUGUGUGCAUCCCGAUGUCCAACAUUUGCUUCAAUCCCCAUUGCAAACUCGAACAAUUUGCAAAAUUUCUUCUAGUGACGUGUAUGUGGUUUUUCUAUUGUUGGGCAACCAUAGGAUGCCGUAGGAUGACUGCUUUAAUAUUGCCUUCGUUGUAAAUUUUUUAGUUCGACGAUUAAAGUAUUUUCUUUAGUUUGCUCUGCUCAGUUUACUUGUUAAACUUGUGCUAUCUAGGUCCAGUGAAGUUCUCAAGACCUACGGAUGUUCGAAGAUUUUAUCACCUACUGAUGGGAUCAACUAGGGUCGAGGGAUUGUACAUAACCAAUUUACUUGUUGAUUUGUGCUAUGCUGAUGUUUUAUGGGCAAGAGUAUGUAAGAAACCGGAGCUGUGGCAGGAUUGGACAAAAAAUAAUCAAAACAUUUAUUAUAUUU